AGUGAACGCUGGCGGCGUGCCUAAUACAUGCAAGUCGAACGGAGUGGCGCACGGGUGAGUAAUGUAUGGCUAAUCUGCCCUACACUAGAGGACAACAGUUGGGAACGGCUGCUAAUACUCCAUAGUGUAGGAUGAGGCUUUAUUGUAUCAGCUAGUUGGUGAGGUAAUGGAUCCACAAGGUUAUGACGCAUAACUGGUGUGAGAGGAUGAGCAGUCACACUUGAAGUGAGACACGGUCCAGACUCCUACGGGAGUCAGCAGGAGGGAAUAGUGCUCAAUGUGGGUAACCCUGAAGCAGCAACGCCUCGUGGAGGAUGACACUUUUGGGAGCGUAAACUCCUUUUGUUAGGGAAGCGGUACCUAACGAAUAAGCACCGGCUAACUCCGUGCCAGCAGCCGCGGUAAUUC
rnacentral:rRNA from 1 species